UGGAGUUGUGCGGCACCAACCUGAAGGGAGAAAGAAAACGCCUUAACGUGUGUUCUGGGCAGAUGCGAUGCCAAUUAUUUUUGAGCCAAUGUCAGACUCCUGCCAAGCGGUACCCCAAAAGGCUUUCCACAGCGGAUCUCAGCAGGAAGUUGAGCUCAACUUGUGGUAACACUGCCAUUGAAAGAAACUCAUCCAAGAACUGCUCAUGAGGUUCCUGUGGCAGCUUGCUGCUUCUGUGGCAUUGUCUCAGGCCAGUUGGUGAGCCUGGUGGUUUCUUCAGGAUUGAACUACAGCUGCUGGUUCCUGCCUGGCGUCUGCCUGCUGAGAGGGCUGGUCUGCAGCUGCUGAGUCAUAUCUGGUGUUUGCGAUGGGACUGAACUGCUGCCCGAGAUGAUCAAGCUCCCCUCUAAAGAACAAUGGCUGAACAGGUCCGCUUCCCCCACAUCCUAAUAACUUUUCUCUACCACAACCUCUGCUGGGUGGUAGGCUGGAGGAGAGAUUGAACCCUUGUUAAAAGUAGGUUGCUCAGGAGGCAGAGGCAGGCGCAUUUCUGAGUUCGA